CCACUAUUUCUUGGCGUGUGUAGCUGUGGUUGCUAUCACAUGAAUAAAAAGCUGGUGGAAUAUAAAAUUGUCAGCCGUCUUCGGAGCUGAAGUCUCUUUGUUGCUUCAGAUUCUUCCUCAAUGUCUGACACAUGU